UCCGAGUUGACCCCGGCAGUCUCCCAUGAGUCCCCGCCAUAACGCGCUGGCAACAUGGAACGAGGGUUGCGCUCGUUGCGGGACUUAACCCAGCAUCUCACGACACGAGCUGACGACAGCCAUGCAGCGCCUCUGUGGCGGCCCCCGAAGGGGAAACCCUGUUUCCAGGGCGGUCCACCACAGUUCAAGCCCAGGUAAGGUUCUUCGCGUUGCGUCGAAUUAAACCACAUGCUCCGCUGCUUGUGCGGGCCCCCGUCAAUUCCUUUGAGUUUUAGCCUUGCGGCCGUACUCCCCAGGCGGGGCACUUAAUGCGUUAGCUUCGGCACGGAAGGAGUCGACACCUCCCACACCUAGUGCCCAUCGUUUACGGCGUGGACUAC
rnacentral:misc_RNA from 1 species